ACGGAAGGCAGCAGCUAAGAAUAUUCGGCAAUGGAGGAAAGUCUGACGGAGCGACGCCGCGUGGAUGAUGAAGGCCGGAAGGUUGUAAAAUCCUUUUAUAACUGAGGAAUAAGCAUUAUCAGGGAAAGGUAGUGCGGGGACUGUAGGUUAUGAAUAAGCAACGGCUAAUUACGUGCCAGCAGCCGGGGUAACACGUAAGUUGCGAGCGUGGUUCGGAAUUAUUGGGCGUAAAGGGCAUGUAGGCGGUUUUGCAAGCUUGGUGUGAAAGGCAGGAGCUUAACUCCUGGACUGCGUUGAGAACUGCAAGACUUGAGUCACUGAGGGGCAAUCAGAAUUCCUGGUGUAGGGGUGAAAUCUGUAGAUAUCAGGAAGAAUACCAAUGGCGAAGGCAGGUUACCAGCAGAUGACUGACGCUGAGGUGCGAAGGUGCGGGGAGCAAACAGGAUUAGAUACCCUGGUA
rnacentral:rRNA from 1 species